UACGUAGGGGGCAAGCGUUGUCCGGAUUUAUUGGGCGUAAAGCGCGCGUAGGUGGCCAAGUAGGUCCGCUGUGAAAACUUGAGGCUCAACCUCAAGCUGUCGGUGGAAACCCCUUGGCUAGAGUCCGGAAGAGGAGAGUGGAAUUCCUGGUGUAGCGGUGAAAUGCGCAGAUAUCAGGAAGAACACCUGUGGCGAAGGCGGCCCCCUGGUUGGAUACUGACGCUGAUACGCGAAAGCGUGGGGAGCAAACAGG
rnacentral:rRNA from 1 species